ACUAUACUAAUGGAACACCAGCUUCGAGAUUUUAUGAUCAGAGUGCCGUCGCGCAUCUUUUUCGCGCACUAUACCAAUUUGAAAAAUCGAUGAGGAUGCCAAAGAAGAAAUUUACUCCGAGAGCCACUUGGAUUGACCUUCAUUGAGAGUAAAACUUCCCCACACUAUAUUUUAUUAGAUCUGUAAAAACUUUAUCCAUUUUCUGACUAUCUGAUAAAAUAGAUACAAUUUCCCUGAAUAAUGGAUCGUCACAAAAGAUUUUUUUUUAAGGCCACUUCGUUAAAAUAGGUGUUUCCAGUACUUCCUCAUUUGGGUAUUUUACACAAAAUCUGGAAUUUUUUUUAUGUACAUGUCAUUUUUAUCAUCUGUCCCGCGCAACCAAACCAUCCACUUUUCCCGGUCACCAAUGUUCUUAACAAGAUAUCAAGAGAGAGAGGCUGGUCCAUUAUUUGCGUAUUCCAGCCAGCUUUUUUUUUUUUUGACAACCUUUUUUCGUUCUCUCUCAUGAAGGAUAUGUUUUGAAAAUUAGUCUUACAAAAUACAAUUCCAAACCAACUCAUGCAGUUAUCGUCUUUUCACAGUAUUGAGGAGUCAUCCUUUUUGCCAGCCAGAGUGUUAAUUGGCAAAAGUGAAAAAUUCAUUUUGUUUAAUUUUUUAAAGUAAAUAUUCAUAACUAUAUCUUUUAUAUAAUAAUAUAUUUUUAAAAUAACAAUCUUGUAUAUAGACAUGCUUUAAUAGAUCUAAUAAAUGAUUAACUCGGACCUACCAAUAUGGGUAUAUAAAUACUUAAAUCUGGGUAUUUAAAAUUUCGAAUGCGAAUUUUAAAAAAAAACGAACUUAUAUUGAUCUAGAUCUCUUGUAUAAUAUCUAGAAUAAUAUAGAUCUACAACACCUAGACUAAAGUUAAAGACUAAGACUUCACUUUCACAUCACAUUCACACGAUUAUUGAUACAGACAGUGAAUGAAACGAAUGCAGUGGUUAUACUGAUUAUACUUAAAGUGACGAUACUACUUACAGAUCUACCAGUUGAUAAACAUCAUCAUCAUAGAUAAUAAUCUACAUCUAUAAUCAUAGUGCCCUUUAUUUAGUCAAUAUAGUCAAGUCAAGAUAGUGGAACGUUAACUCGAAGGUUUAAUACAAUACGUUAUUAACAAGUAGAACCAUGGCAACCAGUUCUGAUGAUGUAACAGAAUGGCUCAAGGAUCAUACUUAUACUAUUUCUACUCUCUGGGCAUCCAUUCAAUAUUUAAUUUAUGUUUGGAAAUGCAAGAAAAAGGCAUGCAUUCCUGAAAAGUCAAUGAUUGGUUGCACCUCUUAAAGAUAACUUUCUGUUAUGAGAAAAGAUGAGAUUCUUGGACUCCUGCAUAGCACCACCAGAAAGGAAAAUCCCAUCAUGUUGCAAAAUAAAAGUCUUGGACCAAUUUUAAUUUAAGAUAUAUAUAUUAUACUGUAAGCUGUAUACAUAUUUAUGUAUAUCCUGUCAUUCAGCCAACAGGUUUGGAUUUAGUAUUUCUUUAAAUCUGUUUGAUAUUGUACUUGAAAACUAUUAAUCUGAGCCCCAUUAAAACAAGAGGGAGUGCAGUGGAUGAGUGGUAAGGGAAAUUUUACUUUUUUAAAAUUAAAAUAAGAAUCUAACAAAAGUAAACAUAUAAAAUAUGGUGCAUUCUCCUUAAAACUAAAACCUGGUGCAAAGGUUUAAAAUGUUGGCAAAAAAAAAGCAACAUCAAUUAAAUAUUCUUAAUUCCCUUUUCAAAACUUACUGAGAAGAACAUGCAUGUUGUUCCCUCAUAAGUUUCUUGACAGAGGAAAUCUUGUUUAUAUUAGAUUUGAAUUAAGCAAAUUAAGAAAAAAAUUAUAAUCAUUAUUUCAAAUGGUUGUAUCUAAACCUUAUGAAUUAUUUUUCAGUUAUAAGUAUAUUGAAAUGAAUGGAUAAUCAUGAAAUUGUUCAAUAAUUGCUGCUAUCAUUCCAUUGACUAAAGAACCAUAAUUUUUUUUAAAAAUUA